GACGAACGCUGGCGGCGCGCCUAACACAUGCAAGUCGAACGAGCGAGAGAGAGCUUGCUUUCUCGAGCGAGUGGCGAACGGGUGAGUAACGCGUGAGGAACCUGCCUCAAAGAGGGGGACAACAGUUGGAAACGACUGCUAAUACCGCAUAAGCCCACGGGUCGGCAUCGACCAGAGGGAAAAGGAGCAAUCCGCUUUGAGAUGGCCUCGCGUCCGAUUAGCUAGUUGGUGAGGUAACGGCCCACCAAGGCGACGAUCGGUAGCCGGACUGAGAGGUUGAACGGCCACAUUGGGACUGAGACACGGCCCAGACUCCUACGGGAGGCAGCGGUGGGGAAUAUUGCACAAUGGGGGAAACCCUGAUGCAGCGACGCCGCGUGGAGGAAGAAGGUCUUCGGAUUGUAAACUCCUGUUGUUGAGGAAGAUAAUGACGGUAC
rnacentral:rRNA from 1 species